GGCCCAAAUUUGAAGUAGAAUAGAUUAGUAGUAUCAGCCGACCCUGCUAAUCUGCUGUAUUUCAAAUUUGGGCCC
rfam:Haemonchus placei strain MHpl1 genome assembly, scaffold: HPLM_scaffold0001144